AUGGACAUGGCCGUCUCCUAUGAGCACCUUGCCAUGGUGACCACGGUUACUGCCGCCACUCCGACACGCCCUGGUCGUCCUACACACCUUGUCCCAGCAGCCCUAGGUGUUGCCACAGGCGACCCCUCUUCUGGGGGCGGGCCUGUCUUCAAAAAGCUUAACGCCGCCGAGAUGGAGGACAGACGCAGCAAGGGACUAUGCUUCAACUGUGAUGAGAAGUAUGUUCGGGGACAUCGCUGCAAGUGCCUCUUCUACAUCGAGUCCGCCGACAACGACGAGGAAGACAAUGAUGACAACCUACACAUCUCGCUGCUCGCAAUCACCGGCGUACGUGCCAGUGACACAAUGCAGCUAGUGGUCCGUGUAGGCGAGUGUGAAUUGGUCGCUCUCCUCGACUCUGGUAGCACUCACAAUUUCAUCAACGAGGAGAUGGCUGCACAAGUGGGCAGCCACUUCUCCACAGGGCGCCGCCUCCGCGUAAUAGUAGCCAAUGGAGAUCAUGUCACAUGUCCAAGAAGACUUCCUUGUCGAUCUUUACGCCAUCCCCUUGGGUGGGUUUGA
rnacentral:rRNA from 1 species